GCCCGGUUAGCUCAAUCGGUAGAGGUUAGUUCCUUGAUAUUUCCAAGAAAUGGAUCCCAAUGACUAAUGCCAAAUAGCGUGAGACUCUUAAUCUCAAGGUUGCGGGUUCGACCCCCGCAUCGGGCU
rnacentral:tRNA from 1 species